rnacentral:rRNA from 1 species
GAACGCUGGCGGCAGGCUUAACACUUGCAAGCCGAGCGGGCGUAGCAAUACGUCAGCGGCAGACGGGUGAGUAACGCGUGGGAACGUACCUUUUGGUUCGGAACAACCCAGGGAAACUUGGGCUAAUACCGGAUAAGCCCUUACGGGGAAAGAUUUAUCGCCGAAAGAUCGGCCCGCGUCUGAUUAGCUAGUUGGUGAGGUAAUGGCUCACCAAGGCGACGAUCAGUAGCUGGUCUGAGAGGAUGAUCAGCCACAUUGGGACUGAGACACGGCCCAAACUCCUACGGGAGGCAGUAGUGGGGAAUAUUGGACAAUGGGCGCAAGCCUGAUCCAGCCAUGCCGCGUGAGCGAUGAAGGCCCUAGGGUUGUAAAGCUCUUUUGUGCGGGAAGAUAAUGACGGUACCGCAAGAAUAAGCCCCGGCUAACUUCGUGCCAGCAGCCGCGGUAAUACGAAGGGGGCUAGCGUUGC